rnacentral:rRNA from 1 species
UACGGAGGGUGCAAGCGUUAAUCGGAAUUACUGGGCGUAAAGUGUGCGCAGGCGGCCGAGCAAGUCGAGUGUGAAAGCCCCGGGCUUAACCUGGGAACUGCGCUCGAAACUACUUGGCUUGAGUGUGGCAGAGGGAGGUGGAAUUCCACGUGUAGCGGUGAAAUGCGUAGAGAUGUGGAGGAACACCGAUGGCGAAGGCAGCCUCCUGGGCCAACACUGACGCUCAUGCACGAAAGCGUGGGGAGCAAACAGG